rnacentral:rRNA from 1 species
AUUGAACGCUGGCGGCAGGCCUAACACAUGCAAGUCGAACGCGUCGGGGACGUGAGUGUAAUGUCUGGGACCCUGCUUGAUGGAGGGGGAAAACUCGUGAAAACGGUAGCUAAUCCCGCAUACCCUGAGCUGAUCCCAGAUGGGAUUCGCUAGUUGGUGGGGUAACGGCUCACCAAGGCCACGAUCCCUAGCUGAUCUGAGAGGGUGACCAGCCACACUGGAACUGAGACACGGUCCAGACUCCUACGGGAGGCAGCAGUGGGGAAGAUUGCACAAUGGGCGCAAGCCUGAUGCAGCCAUGCCGCGUGUAUGAAGAAGGCCUUCGGGUUGUAAAGUACUUUCAGCGGGGAGGCGUUACCCGCAGAAGAAGCACCGGCUAACUCCGUGCCAGCAGCCGCGGUAAUUC